UACGUAGGUGACAAGCGUUGUCCGGAUUUACUGGGUGUAAAGAGCGCGCAGGCGGUCGAUCAAGUCGAGUGUGAAAGCCCCCGGCUCAACUGGGGAGGGUCAUUCGAUACUGAUCGACUCGAAGGCAGGAGAGGGUAGUGGAAUUCCCGGUGUAGUGGUGAAAUGCGUAGAGAUCCGGAGGAACCCCAGAGGCGAAGGCGGCGCCCUGGCUCGCAACUGACGCUCAGACACGACAGCAUGGGGAGCGAACGGG
rnacentral:rRNA from 1 species